rnacentral:rRNA from 1 species
UACGUAGGGUGCGAGCGUUGUCCGGAAUUAUUGGGCGUAAAGGGCUCGUAGGCGGUCCAUCGCGUCGGGAGUGAAAAGCUGGGGCUUAACCCCAGUCCUGCUUCCGAUACGGGUGGACUAGAGGUAGGUAGGGGAGAACGGAAUUCCUGGUGUAGCGGUGAAAUGCGUAGAUAUCUGGAGGAACACCGGUGGCGAAGGCGGCAUCCUGGACCAACACUGACGCUGAGUGAGCGAAAGCCAGGGGAGCAAACGGG